rnacentral:tRNA from 1 species
UAAAGUGUAGCUUAAGUAUAAAGCCUUUUAGUUACAUUAAUAUGAUCUUUUUUGAAGGUACUUUAA